rnacentral:lncRNA from 12 species
UAAGGCCUCCCUCUGCUGCCUGGCUGGUCAUCAUGAGGUUUAUCAGACGCCCCUUGGCUCUAGAAAUUAUGAGUAGUAUGCUAGCUUACACACACACAGUCACACUGGUUCAUGGUGUCCCAUUUUACAGAUAGGGAAACUGAGUCUGAGAUUAAUUGACUUGCUUGAGGGUUCAGUGGUUUGGGAUUGGAGACUCAGUGCAGGCAAAGGGUCUAUCGCUGGACCUUCAGGGGCUUGGGCAGGGUCACUCUGAACAUCCAAGCCAAGGUCUCACUGGGAUUUCUUCCAAUGAAAGCCAAGUUCAAGAUGUUUUGGUUUCUCUGUGAAUGGCCCUAAUCUUCUCUGUUAUAGGCCUGGUUGGUUGGCUGGGGCUGUUGUUUCCUUGAAAUACCCAAAAGAUGAGGUCAUAAGAUCCAGAGAGGUGAAGACAUCCCCCAAGAUCCCCAGCAGAGGCAGGAUUCUUAAGCAGCUCACCUCCUCCAGGAAGCCCUCUCCACCCCCCCCACCCCGCCCCAUGCCUGCUGCAUUCCCUCAUCUCCUACAGAACUUGGGGGCUUAGGGACACAUCCCCAGAGCCUCUUUGUCUUCCACCACAACUCAGUUGGUUGUCAGCCCUCCCAGGCAGAGCCCAAACUUUCAUGUCUCUUCCCUCCCCUUCAGUAGAUGCUCUGGAUGUCAGUGGGCAGAGCAGAGACAGCCCUGAGGCUCAUGCGGAAGGAUUCCCGGAGCAUUUGCCCCUUACUCCCCCACCUCGAAGCGCUCUGAAGCAGAGGCACCCAGCUCUGCAAACAAAGUAAGCUGAGACAGGGAAGCUCCAACUCCCCAGACAACGCCUCAAGUGACUUUAGCUGCACUAUGCGCCCAGAGCCCUGCCUGGAUGAAUGCAUCCUAGACCGCCUAUGGCCUUUCUCAUGGUUUCGUCAUGUCAUCCCCAUUUUACAGGUGCAGAAGCAGGCGCAGAGAGGCCGCCUGACUGGCCCGAGGUCAUACAGCCACAGAGGAGCCUGGAGGUGGGUGGAGAGACUCCAGGGUCUCCGGAUGUUCUCAAUUCAGAGGCAGCACAUCCCUCCGGGGAACCUGGGUCACCCGCGGCUGGUCCCACCUGCACACCCCCUGCUGUGAACCCCAGCUGAGAAGGUAAGGCCUGAUCUCAGGGAGUGUGCCUCUCAAAGGGCUGCUCACCUGUUCUGCAACUGGCUGCUGACUUUUGGAGACCCCCCAAAGGCUUCCUCUACUCAAGAAUUCGCCCCCGAGCCCCACCCCUCAAUGUACCUUAGGACUGGCCCUAACUUCGCCCCCAGCUCUCCCCCAACAACACCCAUCCUUAACCCUUAACCUUACCCCCUUCUGAGGCCUGGGGAGCUGGAGGUGCACUCUGGCUCUCUUGGUGGCUGCCCCAUUGUCCCCUCAGCCCCUCAGCCCUGCUUGGAUCCCCUGAG